rnacentral:RNase_P_RNA from 2 species
UGCAAUUUUCGGAUAAUCGCAUGGUUGCAAGUAAGUCUUCCAUGAGGAAAGUCCAUGCUAGCACUGGCUGUGAUGCCAGUAGUGUUUGUGCUAGGCGAAUCAAUAAGCCUAGGGACUUGAUUUUCAAGUUACGGCGAGCGAACUGGCUAAGUCUUCGGAUAGGUUUUAGUAGCUCUGAAAGUGCCACAGUGACGGAGUUUUUAGGGAAACCUAAAAAGUGGAACGCGGUAAACCCCUCAAGCUAGCAACCCAAACUUUGGUAGGGGCAUGGGAUGGCCGGAAACGAACGGACCAUUCUGACUGCUAUGCAGUAGACAGAUGAUUAUCGAAGGAAGUGGUACCUAGUCACUUCUGGAACAGAACAUGGCUUAUAGAAAAUUGCAUAUA